GGGUGUGUAAGUGCUGUGAGGCAUUGAGCUAACCAAUACUAAUUGCUCGUGAGGCUUGACCAUAUAACACCAAAG
rnacentral:rRNA from 1 species